rnacentral:rRNA from 1 species
UACGAAGGGGGCUAGCGUUGCUCGGAAUCACUGGGCGUAAAGCGCACGUAGGCGGAUCGUUAAGUCAGGGGUGAAAUCCUGGAGCUCAACUCCAGAACUGCCUUUGAUACUGGCGAUCUUGAGUUCGAGAGAGGUGAGUGGAACUGCGAGUGUAGAGGUGAAAUUCGUAGAUAUUCGCAAGAACACCAGUGGCGAAGGCGGCUCACUGGACUGGUAUUGACGCUGAGGUGCGAAAGCGUGGGGAGCAAACAGG